CCGUCAACACAUGUGGCGCUUGGCCAUGGAUCGCUGCAUUAGGUUUUCGUAAUCCCCGAAACCCAGACAAACCACUAUGGAAGUGCGGAGGUUCCCUGAUAUCGGCUAGGCAUGUUUUGACCGCAGCACAUUGUGCACAUAUGGAUGGAAUAGAAAACAUACACAAUCAUAAUAUUGCCAUUCUUAGAUUGGUGGAGGAGGUGCCAUUUUCGAGUAAGUCCUCAAAUAUAUAUAUAUGCUAUUGAGUAUUACUGAAGUAUCAUAUCCUGAAAUUUCUUACUGUACACAUAUAUUGUGUCAUAAAGCGUGUACAAUUCUUUCUCAUACUUUUGGUCAUUCGUUUCCUGCAUUUUCAUUUAUUUUUUUAUUUUUCAGGGUACGUAUAUCCCAUUUGUACGAAAGAGCAACUUCGUCGGCUAUAACCCCCUUGUUGCUGGAUGGGGAGCGUUAAGAUAUAGACGACCACGACCUAAUGCAUUAAUGGAAGUACAAAUGCCAGUGAUUAAGAACGCCGAAUGCAAAAUAGCUUAUUCCAAAUUUCCUAAUGCACCUGAUAUCACUGAUGGUAUAAUAUGCGCCGAACAUGCUCAGGGUGGAGAGGAUUCUUGUACGAUAAUUAAGUUACAGAGUUACUACAAACUAUACGGUAUCUGAAGACACGUCCAUUCGAAUUAACAUCAAAUCGACGUCUUAAACAUUAAAAAUAAUAGAUAAACACAAUUUAAUAGUUUUGCCCACUUCUCACACCUCGUUAUGGUAUUUAAUCUAAUUUCCUUCUAAUCUUAGUUUUGCUCAAAAUACAUAUAACAUGUACGUUAUAAAUUGGAGUAUUUCAAUACACAAAUCAAUAGAAGAUUAUUACUGUAUAUAAGUAUAAUUUCAAUGCAAUUCGAUCGAUAUAUUUCAGUAUCUUUGAUUAAAAAUUUAACGAUCCUUUCAGGCUGACCGUGGCGGACCACUGCUGAUACAACAUGAAUUAACCUCGUAUUUAAUAGGCUGUUAAUCUAGAGGCUGGAGUACAAAGAAGUGGCACAAUGAUGUGGGCUGAUGACAUUUAUAAUUAUCAAGGAAUCACCCCUACAUUCGCUCAUAAUUUUAAUGAAACUGUCCCUUGGGAAGGAAGAACUGAUACCUUGAUAUCACGGUUUGUACAUCCUAUAUAUACGACAAAUUUUAGAACAUUAUAUAACGAAGAACCAGAUCGUCGUGGCCAUGUGAUGUGAAUAAAAGGACUUGAAUUUGAUGAUAUUUUUAUAAUGUUAGAUAACAUAACUAAGUAUCUUCACAGUAAGAUAGGAUGCCAUGGUUUACAUGAUCUUAAUGUUGUUCACUUGAGUGAUGAUAUUAUAAGGAAAAGUGUAAUAUCACAGGAUAUUUAUGUUUAGUAACCAGUAAUUCAGAGAUUGGUAUUCAUGGUUACUAUAACGAGGCUGUAGAAACGCACCCUUUCUUCUUUGCAAAUGGUCCUGUAUUUAUGUCUAAGCCGAAACUGGAACCUCUGAAUAAUUUAGAUUUAUUCUUGGUAUUUUCUAAAAUACUUAUCUACAGUAUACCAUAAGGAAUGAUACCGUAUCGCACCUAAUCAAGUGCCUUAAGAAACAUCAACAGGAUAUCACAGUAAUCCCUUAUCGAUUGAUAUGUAAGUAAAAGUUAUGUGUCAUUGUUAUACACAGUUAUGUGUUAGUGUUAUACACAGUUAUUUAUCAUUUUCUAUUAAUUCAGUUGUAGCCACUACAAUAUCUAUGACACUGGUAGUAAUUAUAAGAACAAUAACGAUGUUCUAUAAGAGGAAAUGAUGAUUAGGAACAAAAACUUACAGGAGAUAUCAUGCGGUGGAUGGAUAAUAUGUAAAAAAUAUUAAGCAGUAUAUGAAUUUUCAUAUUGCGUAGAGAUAACAAAAUGAAUUUUAAAAAAUGUCGACAUGGUAAUAAGAAAUAGCAUCAUGACAAAGAAUAUAUAAAGACAGUUUCAUUUUUUAUAAAUAAAAAUUUGUUGUUCCAGAUUUUGAAAUAUAGUGAAACGUUUAAUUAGUAUCUUAAUAUCUUUAAAUAAUUAUUAUUUUAGAAUCAAUUGUAAUUAUAUCAUACGUACUUUUGAAUUCGUGCAAGAACAUAUGUAAUUUUGAAGUAGUUAUUAUUAGGAAAUUGUUAGACGCGAACAGUAUGCAAAAAGUUAGUAUGCAGUGUAAUAAUUAUCAAUCAAAACACAAGAAUUAAAUUCUUGAGGAAAAAAUUUCCGGAAUUUCUUAUUUACAUGAUUAUAAAGAAAUCCAUAAUAAAAAGGAGCUGCUUUCUAAUACUUCUCUUCCUUGUAAUGCCUAUGUUAAUAAUAACGAGGUUCGACUUUUUGUUUUUAGAGGGAUACUGGAAAAUUUGAAAGUACAGUACCAUUGGGAAGAAAAUCACGAUAUUGAAAACGAUAUUUGCAAAUUGAACAAUAUUCCAGAUUUAUUCAUAAUUUCAUACUACGCGAAGAAUAGACUUUCAUAGGUAUAUAAAGGAAAUAUUAAGUAUAGGAAAACUCUUUUUCGUUGUAGGUGACAUAUGCUUCACG